rnacentral:rRNA from 1 species
AGCAGUCGCCACGGUAAUACGGAGGAUCCGAGCGUUAUCCGGAAUUAUUGGGUUUAAAGGGUGCGUAGGCGGAUAGAUAAGUCAGUGGUGAAAGACGGUGGCUCAACCAUCGCAGUGCCGUUGAUACUGUUUAUCUUGAAUAUGGAUGAGGUAGGCGGAAUGUGGCAAGUAGCGGUGAAAUGCAUAGAUAUGCCACAGAACACCGAUUGCGAAGGCAGCUUACCAAGGCAAAAUUGACGCUGAGGCACGAAAGCGUGGGGAUCGAACAGGAUUAGAUACCCCUGUAGUCCCUGUCUCUUAUAC